CUCUUUUCUUGGCCCAACUCUGCCGUAAAUCACCGACGUCCCGUUCACUUUGCAGCCCUGCUCGGUCGCUAUCAAAGCCAUGGAGGACCGCCCUUCAAACGGCUGUGCGCGAGAGUCCCGGGACCAGCCAUUGGACGCGGUGUGCACGAGCUGAGCGCUGAUUGGUUCAGGCCUGAGCGAUGAGUCACACAGAGAAACUCUCAGUCCCUGCACAGGCCCGUGUUUAUCUCUGACCUGCCCAGACAUGAACGCUCAUCCCGUUACUAUCUGCAAAAACUGCACCAGUGAUUCAUGUUGAAGAUAUACUGUCACACUGUCACAAAGCACUCCUUGUAAUUUACCUCCUGCCUUACUAUACAUGAGCUAUUGAACUAUUUUCCCUGUCAGACCAGUUAUUGAAUCACAAAUUUCCUCUGUUGUGUUCAUCACAUGCACUGCACAUUGUUCAAAAGAGCCUGAAAGAUAGGACGACAAUCAAUAAUAAAGAUAUGGGCUCUCUACUCCCCUCUGAUAAUCACACAUACACCAGUUCUUGUUAACACACUAAUUUGUGAGAAUUGAUAAUGGCUGCAGGCCGGACAGAGAGAGGGGUCCAAUUGAUCAGAUGAUCAAAUACCCAAUAACACUAUUUCAGAGUAUAGAUUAAACCCAGCGGUGGUUCUGGUUUUUCCAAUUGGAGCUGCAGAAAUGUUGUAAAUUGUGUUUGCUUUAAGGCUUUUUUCUGGACUGCCAUUUCAGCCUUGAUUGUUAUAUAACCAAAGAAGAAGACAGAAAGUGAAGGAAAGAGGAGAAAGAGAGAGACACACACACACACACACACGCUGUCCAGUAGGAGCUCAGCUCAGUGCGAUCACUCCACUCACAGAGGUCAGACAAAUGAGCGCUCACUCUUGCUCUCUUCGUCUCGCUGUCUUCUGCUGUCACGCACAUGCACACUCUCUCGCUCACGCUGUAGGCUUUAUAAACCACGCCAGGGGUUGCCCAGCGUGCCAAAGGCCAGUCCAUAUUGCUGUUUUUUCUUGUGUGUGUGUGUGUUAUUGGAUGUGUGCAGAACCUCAGCUGCACUGGCCAGUCAGUCCUCUCAUAUAACACACACACACACACACACACACACACUCCCUUAUUAUCUCCUGUUUGUUCUCUGUUAGUCUUUUCCUUAAGCUGUAUCAGUGUGCAUGUGACAAAGGAUUUGAGAGCUUAUUCAAUUCAUGAACCCUGGGUUGUUGUUUUUUUUUAUUUGGAUGGGGAAAGACACAGAAAGAGACUUCAAAAUCUUGGAGGUGUUAAAUCAGAUUUGAAUUACAGUGGGAGGACGAGAGCGAGAGCAAGCAAAGAGUGGGGGUGGAAUCAGGCUGCACAGGGAUGGAGAGAAAAAAAAAAAAAAAAGAACAUUAAACCAAAGCCAAAAAUCUUCCCUCAUUCAGAUUGCCUUUACUAUGAGGAUCUCCCAUCCAGACUGCAAGCACAUUUCCCUCUCCGCCACUGUGAGCUCAGAAUUAGUGCAUUUCUUUGGCUUGUUCUCCAUAAAUCAAACGAAUCCUGGACUUUGGUCACUUAGUUCACUCGAGGUGUUGAGGCGUGCUUGAAAGACGUUAUUGUUUCAGUGACCUGCACUCCAGCAGACUUUAUGUUGCUAACACAAACUAGUUCGGCUAUGCAAAUUGGAGUCACAGCAGGAUUUAAAAAAGCACAAUGAAAUUAUAAUUUUUUUCUUUUCUGGACAACACAAAAUGAAUCUCAUUUACAUGCAUUUACAGCUGUUUUUUUUUCAGCACUUCUGCAUCACUAGUAGCAAUUAUAGAGUCAGAAUAAAGAGCAAGUGGCUGCAGCUCUUCGGGAUCUGCACAGAGAUUUUAAAGGAACCUGGCCUCAAUAUCCAAUAAUUUGACAUUACUUAUAGUUGACAACAUCUGACAUUGUGAAGGGGGAUGAAUGCUCUAUCAUUUUGUGUGUAAGGUCUCAAGUACUGGCAGCUUUAAGGGGAUGGCAGACGUUCAAAAUAGUAAUACCUCUGGGUUGUUGCCAAGCCCUGGCAGGAUGUUCAGUAUACCUCUCUGUUCCUCAUUGGAUAUACAUUUUUUUUUCUAAUUUGUGUGUUUAUAUUUGCUCAAUCAAAACCAAUUGAAGCGGGGGAGGCAUCCAGCGUGCCAAGGCUUCUUGCCUCCACCUCAACAGGCAUGACUGGAUAUGUGUGAAAUAUUUGUAUGGGACAGGUUGUAUAGCCUGUCUUUUUAAAUUAGUGACAGUCCUAAUUCUGACCCAGGAAUUGUGAGUUACUGCCUCUGGUCCUGAGAAUAUGAUAAUGAUUUUGAGUUAACCUCAUUUAAUCAUUUUUGACGCUGGUACUCUGAUCGUGUCCAGUUUUACGGUUGUCCUGUUCUUUCCUCUCUGUUUUGUUAAAAACAGGAACAUGGGGUGUCUUUGUGUCUGUAGAUGAGGUGAAGAUAGAUCACUUUGUCUUUGUACUGCACACACUAUCAAGAAUACAGUAUAUGCUCUAUGAUAUGUUGUGUUUUUUAAAUUGUACUGUAUACUGUUGAAUUAUAAAAAGAUUCAAAUGAAGAAAGGGAACUGCUUGAUAC